rnacentral:rRNA from 1 species
GCUACGGGAGGCUGCAGUGGGGAAUAUUGGGCAAUGGGCGCAAGCCUGACCCAGCAACGCCGCGUGAAGGAAGAAGGCUUUCGGGUUGUAAACUUCUUUUCUGAGGGACGAAGAAAGUGACGGUACCUCAGGAAUAAGCCACGGCUAACUACGUGCCAGCAGCCGCGGUAAUACGUAGGUGGCAAGCGUUAUCCGGAUUUAUUGGGUGUAAGCGGGGUGUAGGCGGGAAAGCAAGUCAGAUGGGAAAACUCAGGGCUCAACCCUGAGCCUGCAUUUGAAACUGUUUUUCUUGAGUGCAGGAGGAGCAAUCGGAACUCCUAGUGGAGCGGUGGAAUGCGUAGAUAUUAGGAGGAACACCAGUGGCGAAGGCGGAUUGCUAGACUGUAACUGACACUGAGGCACGAAAGCGUGGGGAGCAAACAGGAUUAGAUACCCGGGUAGUC